GUGAACGCUGGCGGUAGGCCUAACACAUGCAAGUCGAACGGCAGCACAGUAAGAGCUUGCUCUUACGGGUGGCGAGUGGCGGACGGGUGAGGAAUACAUCGGAAUCUACUCUUUCGUGGGGGAUAACGUAGGGAAACUUACGCUAAUACCGCAUACGACCUACGGGUGAAAGCAGGGGAUCUUCGGACCUUGCGCGAUUGAAUGAGCCGAUGUCGGAUUAGCUAGUUGGCGGGGUAAAGGCCCACCAAGGCGACGAUCCGUAGCUGGUCUGAGAGGAUGAUCAGCCACACUGGAACUGAGACACGGUCCAGACUCCUACGGGAGGCAGCAGUGGGGAAUAUUGGACAAUGGGCGCAAGCCUGAUCCAGCCAUACCGCGUGGGUGAAGAAGGCCUUCGGGUUGUAAAGCCCUUUUGUUGGGAAAGAAAAGCAGCAGGUUAAUACCCCGCUGUUCUGACGGUACCCAAAGAAUAAGCACCGGCUAACUUCGUG
rnacentral:rRNA from 1 species